rnacentral:sRNA from 1 species
GGGGUAGAUGGCCCUGCUCCUCCACCUGGCUGCUCUUCCCUGACUGUGCUUUCCCCCACAGGACAUGAUCCACAUCGCGGACACCAAGGUCGCCAGGCGUUAUGGGGAUUUCUUCAUCCGUCAGAUCCACAAAUUUGAGGAGCUUAAUCGAACCCUGAAGAAGAUGGGACAGAGACCUUGAUGAUAUUCACACACAUUCAGGAACCUGUUUUGAUGUAUUAUAGGCAGGAAGUGUUUUUGCUACCGUGAAACCUUUACCUAGAUCAGCCAUCAGCCUGUCAACUCAGUUAACAAGUUAAGGACCGAAGUGUUUCAAGUGGAUCUCAGUAAAGGAUCUUUGGAGCCAGA